AGCUGACGAGCAUACCGCGUGAGGGAGAAAGCCCACAGGGUUGUAAACCUCUUUUAUCAAGGAAGAAGUUCUGACGUUACUUGAUGAAUAAGCAUCGGCUAACUCCGUGCCAGCAGCCGCGGUAAGACGGGGGAUGCAAGUGUUAUCCGGAAUCACUGGGCGUAAAGCGUUUGUAGGUGGUCUAGUAAGUCUAUUGUUAAAGCUUGAAGCUUAACUUCAAAAAUGUAAUAGAAACUAUUAGACUUGAGGAUAGUAGGGGUAAAGGGAAUUUCCAGUGGAGCGGUGAAAUGCGUAGAGAUUGGAAGGACCACCGAUUGCCAAGGCAGACCGAUUGCGAAGGCAGA
rnacentral:rRNA from 1 species